AUUGAACGCUGGCGGCAUGCCUUACACAUGCAAGUCGAACGGCAGCACGGGAGCAAUCCUGGUGGCGAGUGGCGAACGGGUGAGUAAAGUAUCGGAACGUGCCCAGUCGUGGGGGAUAACGUAGCGAAAGUUACGCUAAUACCGCAUACGAUCUAUGGAUGAAAGCGGGGGAUCGCAAGACCUGGCGCGAUUGGAGCGGCCGAUAUCAGAUUAGGUAGUUGGUGGGGUAAAGGCUCACCAAGCCGACGAUCUGUAGCUGGUCUGAGAGGACGACCAGCCACACUGGGACUGAGACACGGCCCAGACUCCUACGGGAGGCAGCAGUGGGGAAUUUUGGACAAUGGGCGAAAGCCUAAUCCAGCAAUGCCGCGUGCAGGAUGAAGGCCCUCGGGUUGUAAACUGCUUUUGUACGGAACGAAAAGCUUCGGGUUAAUACCCUGGAGUCAUGACGGUACCGUAAGAAUAAGCACCGGCUAACUACGUGCCAGCCGCCGCCGUAA
rnacentral:rRNA from 1 species